AAUCUUCCGCAAUGGACGAAAGUCUGACGGAGCAACGUCGCGUGAAGGAUGAAGGCCUUCGGGUUGUAAAGCACUUUUGGCAGGGAAGAAAAGGCGCCGGAUAAUACCUGGCGCCGCUGACGGUACCUGCAGAAUAAGCACCGGCUAACUACGUGCCAGCAGCCGCGGUAAUACGUAGGGUGCAAGCGUUAAUCGGAAUUACUGGGCGUAAAGCGUGCGCAGGCGGUUCGGAAAGAAAGAUGUGAAAUCCCAGGGCUUAACCUUGGAACUGCAUUUUUAACUGCCGGGCUAGAGUAUGUCAGAGGGGGGUAGAAUUCCACGUGUAGCAGUGAAAUGCGUAGAGAUGUGGAGGAAUACCGAUGGCGAAGGCAGCCCCCUGGGAUAAUACUGACGCUCAUGCACGAAAGCGUGGGGAGCAAAC
rnacentral:rRNA from 1 species